AUUAAAAAUAAAUAAAUAUAAAACAAAAUUGAAAUGAUACAGAGAAGAUUAGCAUGGCCCCUGAGCAAGAAUGAUGUGCAAAUUCCAUGGACAGCCCACAUAGUA
ensembl:snRNA U6 U6 spliceosomal RNA